GUAGUAUUCCCUCCGUCCCAAAAUNCUUACAUUUGUUUAGAUACGGAUGUAUCUAACACUAAAAUGUAACUAGAUACAUCCGUAUUUAGACAAAUUUAAGACAAGAAUUUUGGGACGGAGGGAGUACAAA
rnacentral:pre_miRNA from 1 species